rnacentral:rRNA from 1 species
UUGAAAAGAACUUUGAAGAGAGAGUUCAAGAGUACGUGAAACCGUUCAGGGGUAAACCUAAGAAACCCAAAAGAUCGAACGGGGAGAUUCAUCGUCAGCGACGCUGGCCUCACGUCGGUGGGCGAUGCGGCGCCCGGGGCCCGUUCGCGCGGGUUCUCCCGGUUGCGCUCGCACGCCGCCGCGCGUCGACGUCCGGCGUUCGUCGUCGUGCACUUCUCCCCUUAGUAGAACGUCGCGACCCGCUGGGUGUCGGUCUACGGCUCGGGUGCGGUGUCUCAUGCGUGGCCGAACCCCCGGUAAAACGGGGGCACGCGUGAAACCCCCGGUCGCCCGGCCGGCUGCCCGGCGGUACGCGCAUGGUAUCAGGCCGCAGCUCUCGCACGACGCCGCGGCGCGUCGCUCUGCCUCUCCCUCGUGUUCUCUCGUCUCUCGUUGUGCGCCACGUGCGUGCGGCGGGGGCGCGAUGCGCGCGGGGUGGUAGGGUGCGCGUUCGCGCGUUCCGUCGUUGCUCGACCGAGCGUGCGUCGAGGCCGUCGCAAGCGAGCGCCACUUUCGCCGAGCGCGGCGCGCGCUCGCUCGCGCGCCCCGGUGGUCAAACACCGGUCGCGCGGUGCGCGCGCGCGUCCGCGGGAUCGUCCGACGGACCUAGCGCCGUCAACGGUCCUGGCCCGCUGUUGGCUUCUGACGGUACGGGGGGUUGGGUGCGCCGCGUGCGUGCGGGGGGUGUGGUUUUUCCUUCCUCGGAAGGGAAGCUUCUCUCUCUCACCGCGCGCGCGCUCUUCCUCUCACACCUUCGACAGGCCCGCAAACGCGUCCCUCGCGCCGCGCGGUCCCGCUCGCUUCGCGCGCGCUCCGUUCCCGCUCUUCGCGGAGUGGGUCGGUGGUGCCGCGUGGAGCCGGGUUGGGGUCCGUUGCGCGCGCGCUGGGACCGCGAUACCGGUCGGCGACGCUACUGCUUUGGGUACUCUUAGGACCCGUCUUGAAACACGGACCAAGGAGUCUAACAUGUACGCGAGUCAUUGGGGACUUGUUAAAAACUGGUUAAACCUAAAGGCGCAAUGAAAGUGAAGGUCGGCCCUGGUCGUCGACCGAGGGAGGAUGGGCCGCGCGCGUCGCUUGGCGUGUAACGCGGCUCCGCACUCCCGGGGCGUCUCGUUCUCAUCGCGAGGAGAGGCGCACCCAGAGCGUACACGUUGGGACCCGAAAGAUGGUGAACUAUGCCUGGUCAGGACGAAGUCAGGGGAAACCCUGAUGGAGGUCCGUAGCGAUUCUGACGUGCAAAUCGAUCGUCGGAACUGGGUAUAGGGGCGAAAGACUAAUCGAACCAUCUAGUAGCUGGUUCCCUCCGAAGUUUCCCUCAGGAUAGCUGGCACUCGGCCGUUCCCACGAACGUGGAACGAGCGCGAGUCUCAUCUGGUAAAGCGAAUGAUUAGAGGCCUUGGGGCCGAAACGACCUCAACCUAUUCUCAAACUUUAAAUGGGUGAGAUCUCUGGCUUUCUUGAACUGUGAAGCCACGAGCAUCUUCUCAAUCGGAUCGGAGUGCCAAGUGGGCCAUUUUUGGUAAGCAGAACUGGCGCUGUGGGAUGAACCAAACGCAGAGUUAAGGCGCCCAACUCGACGCUCAUGGGACACCAUGAAAGGCGUUGGUUGCUUAAGACAGCAGGACGGUGGCCAUGGAAGUCGGAAUCCGCUAAGGAGUGUGUAACAACUCACCUGCCGAAGCAACUAGCCCUGAAAAUGGAUGGCGCUGAAGCGUCGAGCCUAUACUCUGCCGUCAGCGGCAAGUGGGGCGGGGUGUGCGCGUGCGCGCGAGCGCGCGCGCGCGUCCCGCCACGAGGCCCUGACGAGUAGGAGGGUCGCGGCGGUGUGCGCAGAAGGGUCU